UACGUAGGGUGCAAGCGUUAAUCGGAAUUACUGGGCGUAAAGCGUGCGCAGGCGGUGAUGUAAGACAGUUGUGAAAUCCCCGGGCUCAACCUGGGAACUGCAUCUGUGACUGCAUCGCUGGAGUGCGGCAGAGGGGGAUGGAAUUCCGCGUGUAGCAGUGAAAUGCGUAGAUAUGCGGAGGAACACCGAUGGCGAAGGCAAUCCCCUGGGCCUGCACUGACGCUCAUGCACGAAGCGUGGGGAGCAA
rnacentral:rRNA from 1 species